rnacentral:lncRNA from 1 species
CCCAGAUACUUUAAAAAUUCGACACCCAAACUACACUAAUUACAGAAUUACUACAGUAAAUUAGGCACUCAUUUAUACUGUCAUUUCAACAGUGAGCGUACCACCUUCUGUAGUUACUGUAUAAAAUUAAUAUGCACACAGUUCUGCCAUUGUCUUGGAAUUAGAGCCCUUUUGAAAUAAACAUUUGAUACAAAGGCCAAUUUGACAUAAAUAUAGGCGUGCACUCUUUCCUUUCAAUGUGUCAGGUUUCCAAUUUCUAUUCAUAUAAUAAUCAUGUUAUAAAUGGUGAUGCUCCCCAUAAAUUCAUAGGCAAAAAGGUAGCCCAGAAACUUCCAAAAUUAUAUACGUACAGUGGACGGCAGAUCCACUUUUCAUUGUGAAAACCAAGAAAUCAACUUUUCUUCAACCAAUAAUAAUUCAUCAGGUUUGACAGAAUUAAUAAUGUUUUCUACGGAAGUCAUCCCAUCCGUUAAUUUACAUAAUACGUGAAACAAUAAUAAAUGCAAUUGAUGUGUAAUUUUUCUAAUGAAACAGGGAUUGCUCUUUUCACAGAUUAAUAUCGGUGCAGUAAAAAUCAAAGAUUCAUUUAUUAUUUUAACAGCAGUCAAUCAGAAAACAGAAACAUAUUUGCAGCUGAAUCUGUCAUUCUUAUUUUACGCAUUGAUCCAUAAAUCGAUACGAAAAAUUAAAGAUCUAUGAAUGUAAAACAUUAAUCUUUAACAAAAAAUCAUGAAUUCCAUAACUUGGGCUCUGAUACCACAUGUAAGCAAUUAAUUUAUACUUUAAUGCCAAAAUCUUGGAAUUCUAUGAUUUUCACGUAUGAGUAAUUUGAUCAAGUAACAUACCUUGAUCCAUGAAGAAAAUUGAAAUUUAUUAAAUCUACAAAAGAGAAAUCAGUGAGAAUAAAGAAAACUGUUCUCUCUCUUUUCCUUACUGUUCUUGAAUGUUCUUAUUGAUGAUUUUUCAUUCACGUUAAAAAGGCAGAGAGAGGCAGUUUUCUUUUAGGCCAAAACUACCAACUUUCCAUCAAAGUGGACAGUUACAAAACUGUCACUUCUCAAUGACCAAUCAGAUUUUUAAUAUAUAUAGACCAAAUAUUAAUCUAUUUAUAAUAUUACGUGGGGCCACAUUAAUUGGUCUAACAUGACUGCCCAGAAAAACUCAAGAACUACAAAGACAAUUUAUCACAAUGCCCCAAAACAAGAAACCUUGAUUUAACUGAUACAGAACACAAACAAAUCCUUAGAAAGAACAUUCAAAAGCAGUAAUAAUACCCAGGUCCAAAUCAAACAACCCAUCAAUCAAGAAACACAUAGCUUACUUUCAGGUUUCUUCCACUUUUAUGUGUCUUUCCUCUUUUAUGAUCGCCAAGAAAAUAAAUAAGUACAUUCUAACACACAUAUAACUAUUCCAAGAAUCCCAAUAAGGAAAUAACCAGAAAAAAUACAAACUUCCCUUCAAUCAGACUAAAACCAAAAAUCAUGAAUAAAUUAAAAAAUAAAACUUACAAGAUUCAGCUCAGGUCAAAACGGAUUACCCUAAGGUUGAUGCUAAAGUCUUGAUAGGGAUAGGGCUGUUUUCCUUUUUCUUGUUUGAACAGAAAUGGGCAAAAGAGCCGGCGAUAAUAAUGAAAAAAGUGAGAGAAUAUGCGCAAGAAGAAUAAUGACAAUAAUGAAAGUAGAUGGUUGUGGAGUUAUUGUUGUUUCGGUUAAGAAAAACGAUUCUAAUCGGUUCUGUUCUGAUAUGAAGAAUUGAAAAAUAAUCCUCGUCUGCUUCAUUUCUUGAUAAAUGAUACACUCUUUUCUUCUCUGUCUGGCUGGCUGUCAGUUUUCUUUUCGUUUUCGGCACCAGUAAUGUUUGUUUGUUCCCUUGAAUUGGGCUUCCGUUUCUGUUCACCGCACUGCUCUCUAGCUCCCAAUUUAAUGCUCC